rnacentral:tRNA from 1 species
GGGUAUGUAGCUCAGUUGGUAGAGCAUCGGACUUUUAAUCCGCUGGUCCUGGGUUCAAAUCCCAGUAUACCUA